UACGUAGGGUGCGAGCGUUAUCCGGAAUUAUUGGGCGUAAAGAGCUCGUAGGCGGUUUGUCGCGUCUGCCGUGAAAGUCCGGGGCUCAACUCCGGAUCUGCGGUGGGUACGGGCAGACUAGAGUGAUGUAGGGGAGACUGGAAUUCCUGGUGUAGCGGUGAAAUGCGCAGAUAUCAGGAGGAACACCGAUGGCGAAGGCAGGUCUCUGGGCCGAUAUUGACGCUGAGGAGCGAAAGCGUGGGGAGCAAACAGG
rnacentral:rRNA from 1 species